rnacentral:misc_RNA from 1 species
GAUGAAGAACGCAGCGAAAUGCGAUAAGUAAUGUGAAUUGCAGAAUUCAGUGAAUCAUCGAAUCUUUGAACGCACAUUGCGCCCCCUGGAAUUCCGGGGGGCAUGCCUGUUCGAGCGUCUCAGGGACGAACCCUCGCGCGGGUGUACGCGCGGUCGUGGCUGCGGUGGCGUGCCCGAGGCGGCGGCCACCGCGCUGGAAUCCAUGGGCGGACGCCUGCCGCGUGGCCGAGCGUGAUAUGCCGCAUUGGCGCUCGCACGCGGCGAGGCUGCCAGCCCUGGCCCGUCUGUCGGGCGGGGGAGAGCAAGACACGUGAACUCCUCGAAUCAGGUAGGGAUACCCGCUGAACUUAAGCAUAUCAAUAAGCGGAGGA